rnacentral:snoRNA from 1 species
UUAUGAUGAAGUGACCAUAAAUAUAGCUGGAAUUACCGGCAGACUGUAAGUGGUGAUUAUUGGUUGCUCUGAGG